rnacentral:rRNA from 1 species
GACGAACGCUGGCGGCGUGCUUAACACAUGCAAGUCGAACGGGCCUGUCUUCUUUUUUGGGGGUGGGUUGAGUGGCGAACGGGUGAGUAUCACGUGAGUAACCUGCCCUUCGGUCCUGGAUAACCGCUUGAAAGGGCGGCUAAUACGAGGUGGUCCGGUUGGUCCGCAUGGGCUGGUCGGGAUAGAUUCACUGUUUUUGGUGUUUCGGCGGGGGAUGGGCUCGCGGCCUAUCAGCUUGUUGGUGGGGUGAUGGCCUACCAAGGCGGUGACGGGUAGCCGGGCGGAGAGGGUGGGCCGCCACACUGGGACUGGGAUACGGCCCAGACACCUGCGGGAGGGAGCAGUGGGGGGUAUUGCACAAGGGGCGGAAGCCUGAUGCAGCGACGUCGCGUGAGGGAGGGAGGCCUUCGGGUUGUGAACCUCUGUGUCGGGUGGUGAAGGCCCUGUCCGUGUGGUGGGGUUGACGGUAGCCGGGGAUGAAGCGCCGGCUAACUACGUG